rnacentral:rRNA from 1 species
CUACGGGUGGCUGCAGUGGGGAAUCUUAGACAAUGGGGGCAACCCUGAUCUAGCCAUGCCGCGUGAGUGGUGAAGGCCUUCGGGUUGUAAAGCUCUUUCAGCUGGGAAGAUAAUGACGGUACCAGCAGAAGAAGCCCCGGCUAACUCCGUGCCAGCAGCCGCGGUAAUACGGAGGGGGCUAGCGUUGUUCGGAAUUACUGGGCGUAAAGCGCACGUAGGCGGACUGGACAGUCAGGGGUGAAAUCCCGGGGCUCAACCCCGGAACUGCCUUUGAAACUAUCAGUCUGGAGUUCGAGAGAGGUGAGUGGAAUUCCGAGUGUAGAGGUGAAAUUCGUAGAUAUUCGGAGGAACACCAGUGGCGAAGGCGGCUCACUGGCUCGAUACUGACGCUGAGGUGCGAAAGCGUGGGGAGCAAACAGGAUUAGAUACCCGGGUAGUC